CGAAACGGGCACGAGGUCUGGUCCGAUCUAGAUAAGGCUGUUUGUUCAUUGCGCCCCAGGCUUAGUGCCCGUAUUCCCCACACGUCGUCGUCUUCCUCCUACUCCUCUUCCUUGUGCCCGAUACCAAUCCCCUAUACCAUCGAUUACUUCUCCACCAUCUGGUCAAUCCCUUGGCCACCAUAUCCCUCUCUCUCUCUCUUUCUCUCUCUUGAUGCACAUCUGAGGUAUGGAUCGAAUCAUCGGUGGGAAAUACAAGUUAGGUCGGAAGAUUGGAAGUGGAUCUUUCGGCGAGAUCUACCUAGCUACGCAUGUCGACUCUUUCGAGAUCGUCGCCGUCAAGAUCGAAAAUAGCAAGACGAAGCACCCACAACUGCUUUAUGAGGCCAAACUCUACAACAUUCUGCAAGGAGGAAGUGGUAUUCCAAACACAAAAUGGUGUGGUUUGGAUGGGGAGGACAAUGCCCUUGUUCUUGACUUGCUUGGUCCUAGUCUUGAGGAUUUGUUUGUCUAUUGUGGAAGGAAAUUUUCUUUGAAAACAGUCUUGAUGUUGGCUGAUCAGAUGAUAACUAGAAUAGAGUAUGUGCACUCAAAGGGCUUUUUACAUAGGGAUAUUAAGCCUGAUAACUUUCUUAUGGGGCUUGGUCGGAAAGCGAACCAGGUGUAUAUAAUUGAUUUUGGGCUUGCAAAAAGAUAUAGAGAUGCUACUACCAACCGUCAUAUACCAUACAGAGAGAAUAAAAACUUGACUGGGACUGCUCGAUAUGCAAGCUGCAACACCCAUUUGGGCAUUGAACAAAGCCGUAGGGAUGAUUUGGAAUCGCUGGGCUAUGUUCUUCUAUACUUCCUUCGGGGAAGCCUUCCAUGGCAGGGCCUAAAAGCUGCAACAAAAAAGCAGAAGUAUGAUAAGAUAUGUGAGAAGAAGCUUUCGACUCCCAUUGAAGUUUUGUGCAAAUCACAUCCUGUGGAAUUUGCAUCUUACUUCCAUUAUUGUCACUCCUUGACAUUUGAUCAAAGGCCAGAUUAUGGAUUUUUGAAGCGCCUUUUUCGGGAUUUGUUCAGCCGAGAUGGAUAUGAAUUUGACUACAUUUUUGACUGGACAAUUCUAAAAUAUCAGCAAGCCCAUAGGACAAAGCCUCAACCUCGGUUUUCUCCAGUAUCUGGUGGUACGAGUGGUAGAGCUACCCCCAUGGAUGUUGACAAGCGUCAAGUUAACUGUGAAGUUUCCGGUGCUGUUGAUGUUCAAGAAGAUGUCACGGAGAGAGUAGGGCCAAGUAAUGUUUCAAGACCAACUGUUCGAAUGCAGUUUAAAGCUGCAGGUGAUAAGAAUUUGGCUUCCGACAGUCAGAGACUUGGCAAGCUGAGAGUAGGUACAGGCACUGACAAGUUUCACAUGUCAUCCACUUCAUUUGUGCUUCCAAGCAUUUCGAAGAAGAAUGUUGGAGGCUCCAAUCCUUCAGGCACAACUGAUGCUUCUCAUGUUGCUCGCGCUGGGGGAAAUUCCGGGUCUUCUAGCAGCUGGCUUCCUGCAUUGCAGCGAAACGCUUCAGCCAAAUGAUAGCGUGAUUUAUGAAAAAUGUCAAGUUGCUUUAUCGAUAAUGAAGUGCAUCCUGUAUUUCCAUUACGGUUACCACAGACUCAUUGGAUGCUAAGUGAAGAUCUUUACAAUGGUUGACGUGUGGAAAAUGCAACAGUUGAAAGGCUUGUACAUUUAUUCUUGUAAUAGUUGUUUCAGAGCUAAAGAUGAUCGUCUGCGUCAAUUUUAGCAUUAGGUACUCUGCUGAGUAGAGCAAACACUAGUGUUUCCACUGCAGUUUUCUAUGCUUUUGUUUAUUUGACAAAAAUUCGACUUCUGUCAGAGAAUGGUGCUGUAAUGGAAGAAUGGUGCAAAGAGGCAAUGGUCAUAGAAGUGGAUGGUGGUAGUAACUUGAUUGAUGUCAUGCAAAGAAAGCUCUCUAGUAAGUUAUUGGUAACAACCAUUGAAGACCCCGAAUGAGAAUGUUAAAAUCGAAGGCUUAUUCAAGGAAAAAAAAAACUAUUACAAAGAGUUAUGUAUUAACAAGAUGGUCCAACAUAAGCAUUUGCAGGCCUUUCCUUAUCAUCAGUAAGCAAUGGAGGAAUCAUGCUUUGGUGAGAGAAUAAGACAGAUGUAAUAAUAUCUGUGAGCUAAAAGUACAAAAUUAUGUUUGGGUGAGCAAAUAAUUCUUUUUUUUAUUUUUUUACCAGUAUAUAUUUUUCUCUUAGUGACAUCGUAGAUCCAAGUGAAUUUCUAGAUUUUUGCGAGAGCAAUGGUAGCAAUGGCUUAUUAAGAUAGGAAGGGGAGGAAUAAUUGAUUUGAUGACAAUGAUUUUGCAUACUGAAAGAUGCAGAUUGUGGAUUAUUCAUAUAAGAGAAAUUUACAUCUAUCUUUGAGUUGAGAAGUUGACAAUUAUGACUCAAGAAGAUUGAGAUUUCUUAUAAAGAUAGGCGCUUGGAGACGUAUGUUUGUCAUUGGCAAAGAAUGUUUUUAAAUAUAUUCCAUGAAGUACUACAACUCAUGUGAUGGAAGCUCCCAUCAAACAUGUGUGAGAUGCUUUUGAUAUUACAAUGGAGGUAUCUCUAAUGAUAAAUUUCUUUGUCUCCAGAUGCCCAAAGUUGAAGGCACUUUUUAAGUGUCUCAUAUCGAUGAGUUUAAUUUGAUUGCUAGUCAGUUGAGAUUGAUUGACAUUAACAUCAUAAUAAAAUUCAAGCAUAAAGAUUGCUAUCAUCACUACUAAAAAGUUGGGCUUGAACUAUAUUAGCUAUUAGUAAUUCAGAUGCGUUUGUAAAGUUGAAGGUCCAUGAUGUCCAUGACCUGAUCUUUAAUGAAGACAUAAAGAGUUGAAAAUCAAGGGAAUCUUCUUACAUUCUUGGGAGUAGAGGAAGAAGUGUAAAAUGAGACGCUAAAGGUGGAUUCAAAUGUCAACUGAGGAGCUAAUCAAAAAGUUCAUGAUGGUUGUGUGCUGGUUAUGUAAAAAUGAUUGUGGUCUCAUGGAAAGAGAAUUUUCACAUAAUGAUGGUAGAAAAAAAUUGAAUUAGAUCAAUAAAGAAUGAAUGGUACAUGAGAGAUAUGAUACACUAUUCAUGUCUUUUGAUUGAACGGCAUAUAAAAAGUUUAUUCUUAAUUAUUUGUAAGAGAUUGUUGGACGAUUCACGUUAUUAAUGAUGAACUUUUAUAUUUUGCUGGAGUUUAUGAUGUGCAAAUCAAGUUGUAAUGGGAUUAUAUAGAAUCUUCACUUUAUGAGAUGUUUUUGGCUUGAAGAGGAAUUUGAUUGGGUGGGUUGAUAAUGAAAGUUACAUCUCAAACCUUCUGUAGUAAUAUUUGGAAGGUGUUGUAGGGUGUUAUGUUGAUCGCAUGUGGAAACAAGAUAGUAUCAUGUGUAUGUCAAUCACUGAAAUUUUGGAAUCAAUUUGUUAAAUCUAUUGCUGCUACUGAUUUUAGAGGUGCAGUGCGUAAUAAUGUUUUUUUUAAAUGGGUGCUUUCAAAAUGACACGGGGCUUACAGGGAAAAUGGAAGUUCAAGAUGAAGUAGCAAACAUGGUUGCAAGGAUGAUUGUAAAUGAUUUUAUGUUUGUCAUCAACGAACUCAGGUAUUGCAAAGCUUUAGUGAAGCCAUAUAGAUGAUUAAAAUGGCAUGCCACAUGGGGAAGACUCUUGAGAUUAUGCAUGGGUAAAAAUGAUUAUGUUGCCACUUAAUGCCAUUUUUUUCUACAAGUUUGUCAUUUAAAUAUUAUAUAAAGAGAUUGUUGUAUGAUAUCGAAGGGCGUAAGUUUUUAAUCUUCUUCAUUCAGUUAGAUGUAGAGGUGGAUAUUGAAGAAUUAUUUGAUAGAGUGAUCUUAGUUGGUAUAAUAAGUAGGUUAUUUUACUAGGUGAUCAGCUACUACUAGUAAAAAGGCUCGGAUAUUACAAUUGGAAGUUGGAUAUAGGAUGUCGUUGGGUUUCGUCCAUCAUCAGUUAACAUGGCAGGCUGAGAGAGGGAUAUUAUUGAGAUGAAUGCGAGACGAGACAUAUUUGAGCGAGCAAAUAAUUGUAUCUUGAUUUGUUUCUUGAUUAGUGGAUAUUUUUCAUUGUGCGGCUGUAAAUAUAUGUUCAUUAUAUCGAGCCACAUAAAUCGGAAGAAAUCAAUUUCUCGUGUAACCUGGGUGGGGUUAAUAUGCAUUCUUAUCCACCUUAUGGUUGUAUAUUUGUAAUUUUUUAUUACAUUCACUUGGAACACUCUUCGGGUUUUCUUAGCACUUGUAAUUUUAUUCAUUUGUUCCCACUGUUGU